UCCCUGGUGGUCCAGUGGCUAAGACUCUGCACUUUCAAUGCAGGGUGACUGGGUUUGAUUCCUCAUCAGGGAA
rnacentral:tRNA from 1 species